UACGUAGGGGGCAAGCGUUGUUCGGAAUUAUUGGGCGUAAAGAGCUCGUAGGCGGUUUGUCGCGUCUGCCGUGAAAGUCCGGGGCUCAACUCCGGAUCUGCGGUGGGUAUGGGCAGACUAGAGUGAUGUAGGGGAGACUGGAAUUCCUGGUGUAGCGGUGAAAUGCGCAGAUAUCAGGAGGAACGCCGAUGGCGAAGGCAGGUCUCUGGGCAUUAACUGACGCUGAGGAGCGAAAGCAUGGGGAGCGAACAGG
rnacentral:rRNA from 1 species